GACGAACGCUGGCGGCGUGCCUAAUCCAUGCAAGUAGGACGCAGUUGCGAACGGGUGAGUAACGCGUAGGUAACUACCUAUUAGAGGGGGAUAACUAUUGGAAACGCUAGCUAAUCACGCCUACUAGUAGAUGGACCUGCGUUGUAUUAGCUAGUAGGUAGGGUAAUGGCCUACCUAGGCAACGAUAAAUAGCCGAAAUGAGAGGGGGAUCUGCCACACUGUGACUGAUACACGGCGCAGACUCCUAAGGGAGGCAGCAGUAGGGAAUCUUCGGCAAUGGGGGGAACCCUGACCGAGGAACGCCGCGUGAGUGAAGAAGGUUUUCGGAGCGUAAAGCUCUGUUGUUAAGGAAGCGGUACUUAACCAGAAAGGGACGGCUAACUACGUGCCAGCAGCCGCGGUAAUUC
rnacentral:rRNA from 1 species